rnacentral:rRNA from 14 species
CAGAAGUGCGAAUGCUGACAUGAGUAGCGUUAAAGGGGGUGAAAAGCCCCCUCGCCGAAAGCGCAAGGUUUCCUACGCAACGUUCAUCGGCGUAGGGUUAGUCGGCCCCUAAGGCGAGGCAGAAAUGCGUAGUCGAUGGGAAACGGAUUAAUAUUUCCGUACUUGUUAUAUCAGUGAAGGGGGGACGGAGAAGGUUAUGCUAGCUUGGCGUUGGUUGUCCAAGUGAAAGCGAGUAGGCCGAGAAUUUAGGUAAAUCCGGAUUCUUAAAGCUGAGACGCGAG